GAGAAGGUGGCUCAGUGGUAGAGUGCUUGCCUUGCAUGCAUGAGGCCCUGGGUUCGAUUCCUCAGCACCUCA
rnacentral:tRNA from 1 species